rnacentral:rRNA from 1 species
UGGGGAAUUUUGGACAAUGGGCGAAAGCCUGAUCCAGCAAUGCCGCGUGAGUGAAGAAGGCCUUCGGGUUGUAAAGCUCUUUUGUCAGGGAAGAAACGGUGGGUUCUAAUACAGCCUGCUAAUGACGGUACCCGCAGAAUAAGCUCCGGCUAACUUCGUGCCAGCAGCCGCGGUAAUACGAAGGGAGCUAGCGUUGUUCGGAAUCACUGGGCGUAAAGCGCACGUAGGUGGGCAGUUAAGUCAGGGGUGAAAGCCCGAGGCUCAACCUCGGAAUUGCCUCUGAUACUGGCUGUCUAGAGUUCGAGAGAGGUGAGUGGAAUUCCUAGUGUAGAGGUGAAAUUCGUAGAUAUUAGGAAGAACACCGGUGGCGAAGGCGGCUCACUGGCUCGAUACUGACACUGAGGUGCGAAAGCGUGGGGAGCAAACAGGAUUAGAUACCCUUGUAGUCCCUGAGCGGGCUGGCAAGGCGCAU